rnacentral:rRNA from 1 species
GAUGAACGCUAGCGGCAGGCCUAAUACAUGCAAGUCGAACGGUGUAGCAAUACACAGUGACGCACGGGUGCGUAACACGUAUGCAACCUACCUUACAUUGGGGGAUAGCCUUUCGAAAGGGAGAUUAAUACCGCAUAAGACAGUAACUAGGCAUCUAGUAGCUGUUAAAGAUUUAUCGAUGUAAGCUGGGCAUGCGUCCAAUUAGUUAGUUGGCGAGGUAAUGGCUCACCAAGACGAUGAUUGGUAGGGGAACUGAGAGGUCAAUCCCCCACACUGGCACUGAGAUACGGGCCAGACUCCGACGGGAGGCAGCAGUAGGGAAUAUUGGGCAAUGGGCGCAAGCCUGACCCAGCCAUGCCGCGUGCAGGAAGAAGGCGUUAUGCGUUGUAAACUGCUUUUAUACAGGAAGAAACGACCCUUGCGAGGGGCAUUGACGGUACCUGAAGAAUAAGAGGUUGCUAACUCUGUGCCAGCCGCCGCCGUAACAC